CUGUGAUCUGCCCUGGGAGCAAUACUGCCCAGAAUUGCGCCCAGUCUGGACUGAGAUCUGGCCCAGGACAGUGUUGGACUUGGAGUCUGCAAGGGCAUGAUUACUGGUGACGUUAGCUUACACUUCAGGAGCAUCUCCCCUUUUAAACUGCAUUGCUGUCCAGGCAGAAAUGCAGAGCAUCACCCCGGGUCGUCCCGCCCAGGAGCGUGAGGCCACCCCCCGAGCGCAACGCCUCCCUUCUGUUGCAGGCCUGUCGGGCGCAGCGGCUGUUCUCUGGUACGCUGUGGACACCGUGCAGAAGUACAGGCUGGAGGUCAGUUUUGGGAUCCCUGGGGUGACCUAUGAACUGGGCUAUUCCUACUGGAUGGCGGUGGCCGGCGCCUUCUGCACCUGCGCCGCAGGGGUCCUGCUGCUUGUUGCCAACUGCCCCAGGACCCAGACACCGAGGAGGAAGCCCCCACGUGUCCCGCUGCCCCCCGACUUCCAGACAAGAGGCACUUACUUGUGAGCCCAGCUUCCAGCACUUCACCGCCUGGUUCUCAGCCUUUUUAGACUCGAGGCGCCCUCGGAAAACACCAGCUCCUAGUUUUCACCCUUGUUUUGCCUGUAGAAAACCAGCGGAGCAGUGCUGUCCUGGUGCAAAGAACUCAGGAAGAUGCAACUGUAGAUUUCUGUUGAAAUCACUGGGCUUAUCUUGUGAAUCGUGUUUGAAAACCUGACUGUGGGGCACCCUACAGCACCCUGGAAAGGCUCUCAAGGCACGCCGGGGUGCUGCGGCACCCUGGUUAAGAACCGCUCCCCCAGAAGCACAGGUCUCUGUAAGACGCUGCGAUGAAAGGGAGGACUUAAUUCCCAUCACCGGCGGGCUGGGCAGUCUCUAACCCCGCGGCAAAGUGUGCGUGAAGCACUGACUCAUGCGCGCGGCAGGAUUUGAGCCCACUUUGCAGCAGGGUGUGUGCCCAGGGGCAGGGCUACCAGACUCCCAAGGAAACCUCUACAAAAGCUCCCAAGUUAACUAGAAACUUCAGUCCCAUUUCCCAAACGGCCGAGGGGCUCGUCCGUGUUGCCCUGUGCUGCAAGCACUGCCCAAAGGCACGUCCUGCUCACGCCUUCCCGCUCUGCACGUGCCCAACUCAUCAACCCAUCUCGGGGUCCCCGGGGCCCCAGGUUUCUCUCAUGGGUUAGAAGAGGAGCGUAGCCUAUGUGUGCACCUCCGAACAGGCACUCGAGACGCCGUGAUCUGGAAAAGCAGAGACUGUGCUGGCUGGACUCCGUUUUUUGCUUGUACAGGUAGGGAGAGAGCGUUUUUCUCCAUCUGUGAGAGCCAGAGGAGAUCAGUGCCUCUGCAAUGAGCUGGAGGCUGCAAGUGAGAGGAACAGUGCAAAAACCCUGGCCAGGCUCUGGUCAGUCCUCCUUUCAGCACCUGCUCUCUGCCGCCGAGACACAGGAGACUGGGCAAGACGGACCUAUGUGGUCUGACCCAGUAAAUGGCAGUCCUUAUGUCAUUGUGAUUAGCCUGUAUACAGGAGAGAUUGGAGCACUUUUGAUCAGCAGCAGUAAUGCCCCGUUCCUCUUACUGGAGACGGUGCCAGCUAUUCCUUGGCGUUCCACGCAUUUGUGUCUUUUCCAUAGUAAUUUAUUAAAAUGUCUCCUUAUUGCAAUGCAAGCAGCCUCUUACAACAUGAAAGCAAUGAACUGUGCUCUUUAAACAGGGCUGUGGGAAGCCCUUCAGAUGGAGCACUUCUGAACAAAAGCACAUGACUUCUUUAUUCAAAAUUUGGAGAAAAAAUUGACUGUGUCAGCAAUCUGUGAGCAAAGAAAAACUCGGAGUAGGCAAUCUUAUAGCAGGCGUUGUGCCCCAUGGCUGCCGUGCAGCAUAUCUACCCAGCAGGCUCUCUACUUUAUUGUCCGUGGUCUGUUAUCUGCCUUAUUUAUUUGCAGAAGAUGUAUAGAAAUGUGCCACCUGGUUGUGGGCAAUAGGAUGCCUUGUUGGCGAGUACAAAAUCAAUGGAGACAGCCGUAUGGGUUCCUUCCUUCUCUGCAAGCAUCCUAAUUGCAUUGGGCGGAGGACAGUGUUGUUUAGGGAGAGGAGGAGAUGAGCACUUGGAAAGCACGUGGUGUUGGUCUCACUCAGUUCAGACCCGCAAUGAGCAUUUUUGGCUAGGAUUUUCAAAGCAGACUCCUAUGAGUUAAGCACUGAAAUCCUGCUGGAUGCUGACUCCCUUAAACUUGCUUUUUUUUCCUUUUUUUUUAAUCCUGCUGGUACCAGUUUCCCUGACAAGAGCAGAGUCAGGCUCACACGCUGAUCAAAUCCUGACUGUCAUGAGGAAAGCGAGAAAAGUCAUCGUGCUCAUUAUAGCUUUGACACUGCAGCAGUUAUUCACGUAAGCAGCUCUUUUGGGAAGCCUCUUGCGAGCCAGGACUCCUAGCCUUGGGAAGGGGUUGCUGGCCAGGACCUGCACUAGCUUCGCCUGCCAGGGAUACAUCAUCUUUGUCCAAAUAUUACACAUUGUACUUGGGAAGCAAGACUGAGAAGGACUUGCUGCUCUUUGCUCUUUUGUCAUCUGCCUGUAACCCACUACAACAUCCCUCAAACUGGGCCCUGAUCCAGGGACCCAAAACCAUGAGCUGCUAUAGCGUGCCUGCUGCUGGCACAGAGCUGUGUUUUCUGUGGAUCCAGCCUCAAGGGAAGCCCCUGGCACAAACCCAGUGGGUCACAACCACAGAGACUAGACAAAACUCCCAUUUAAAGGGGAGUUGGGACUGUGUGUGAUAGGUCAUGGGUCACAGCAGUGACUUCCCUUCCUCUGCACGUAUGCACGGCCCGCUCUGGUCACUCGGCUUACUGCUGCUGCCGCCCCACGGGGUGUUUCUCUAGGCGAGAGGAAGACCCCUUGGAGCCAGCCAAGAGCCAGCUUUGCAGGUGCCUCAGUGUCAUUUUUGGCACCUCGGUGCAGGCAGGGCUGCUGUUUGCUGCUGCGUGGCCCGUACGUGGUGUGAGCGUGGGAGGCUAUGCACGCGCUUGGCUAUACGCGUGCUCCCCGGGUGGACGCGUGCUGGUGUCAAAGGCCCAGAAAUGUAGGUGGCCCAGAGCUACAGGUAGCAGAAGAGGCUUCCCGCGAUUUAGCCCCAGGACCUGAGUGGUUAGGGUAGUGCCUGGGAAGCCAGAAACCCGGCUUUGAAUGCUCCUCGUCCAGGGGGUUUUGCAGCUACACCUUCAAACGGUGCUCGACUCGCCGUGCUCCUGGGCAGACACGAGGCAGGCCGCUUCUGGGUGCUCUGUUGGGAGCAGGCAAGAGAGAUGUGGGGCAGAAGCUGGAGCGGGGGUGGCUUUUUCUGGAAAGGAAGGGGCAUCGGGUCUUGCCUGCAGGCUUGUGCCCACGAGGCAGAAGCUCCCCUCUUCGCUCUGCCUCGCCGAGGGGCAGGGGCUCAGCUGCACAAGGGGUGCGGGACAGGGCUUGGGUCAUACCUGAGUUGUGGCGCAGCGGGCAGUGGCAGUGCGACCUGAAGACCUGGGUCUCUUGUGUCCGGGGCAAGAGCUCUAACGGCCGGGCUUGCCCCUCCUGUCACCUUGUUUCCCCGGGACUCACGUUCGUGGUUGUUUGCACGCAGCGUUAUGAAUGCAGCAGCAGCCCUGCCACCUGGGAGCACGUGCCAAGCAGACCGCUCGACCGACUAGAAGCUGCCAGUUAGGCGGCCAGCGGGGCAGAGAAUGACGCCCUUGUUGUCUGGAGCUGAAUGUGCCGCUGAGGAUGUCCUUCCCCGCCAGCGCCUGCCAGCUCCAGCGAGGAAGAGACGUGCUGUAUGUAUUGUGGGAAGUGCUCUGCCUAGAGUGUCUCCUUAUUCAUUACAUUAGUGGCUCGUUCCAGUUGCGUGAAAAAGCAGGACUGUAAAAUAGAGACUCUUUGCAAGCACUGGCCCGCAGCAGUUGGGAGCUGUGUAACCAGAGGCCUGUCGUCCCUCCGUGUUGCUCGUGUUCCACGUAGGAAGGGUUUUUCGAUUGCGUGGCCACGGUUUGGAAGUGUUCGUGGUUCUUGCGGAGACAGCGGCAGGCCAGGCCUCUCUGUGCUCCAUGCUCGUGUCAUGUCACGUUGUCAUUUCUGUCUCUAAGCUUCCCAUUUCUUGGCUUCUCUUUCCUGAGGUGACGUCAGAGGCGGCUCCGCUCUUUCUUACAGCCUGGAUUGGUGUCCUGUCCUCAUUUGGGGUUGGCCUGCGUGACCCCUUCAUGCUCCGGAGCCCAGGGGGUGAGCACUGCUGCCACUUGUCCCCUCUCCCACAUCCUAACUCAGCUGCAGGGGGCAAGGGGGCUAGCAGCAGGGGUGCUUGUCCCCAUGGGGAGGGGAAGGGGCAGGGGCAGGGCGAACACAGCGGUGCCCACCCCACGCGGCCAGCUGCUGAGCUCAGCGCUCACGGUAUGUGCUGGUGAGCUCGGAUGGAGGUGACGAGUGCCUCGCCGGGCUGCCUAUCCCAGUUAAACAGUGGUAACAGCAGCAAAGAUUUGUCAACAAGUUGCCAUAAGUCCACAAGACUCUUUAUGCCUAUGUAAGUCCCCAGGAACAAGAGCUUUUCUGCUUCCUGCUGUGAAGCGAGGGGGAGGUGGGGGUGGACCAUGCUAUAAACUCAUCCAGCAUUUUGAUGUGUGUUGCAUGUGUCUGGAGCAGUAGGCUGGAGAAAGUGCAUCUGGUUAAGUUAUCACAGCAGGGAUUUUCCAAGGAGCCAAGGGUAAUUAGGUGCCCAGUUCCCAUGGAUUUCUAUGGGUAUAAGGUGCUGAACUCCCCAAGACCUCUUGGAAAAAUCUCAGCCUAAAUCCUCUUUCCUAAAGCUGUGCAGAAAUUCUGAAUCCUUUCAAAAUAAAAGGUAACGGUGUGGAGGA